GAUGAACGCUGGCGGCGUGCCUAAUACAUGCAAGUCGAGCGAACGGACGAGAAGCUUGCUUUUCUGAUGUUAGCGGCGGACGGGUGAGUAACACGUGGAUAACCUACCUAUAAGACUGGGAUAACUUCGGGAAACCGGAGCUAAUACCGGAUAAUAUUUUGAACCGCAUGGUUCAAAAGUGAAAGACGGUCUUGCUGUCACUUAUAGAUGGAUCCGCGCUGCAUUAGCUAGUUGGUAAGGUAACGGCUUACCAAGGCAACGAUGCAUAGCCGACCUGAGAGGGAGGUGCGCCGAACGAGGACAGAGACGCGGGGCGGACACCGACGGGCGGCAGAAGGCGGGGAGCUUGAGGAAGGUGUGCAAGUGUAAAGGGACAAUGAUGAGUGAAUGAAGAAGGUGUCAGAAUCUUAAAACAGUGUGAGUAUAGCAGACAAGAAGGGUAAGUAACGGUGCACACCAUGACCGUAGCUAAGCAAAGAGCAAGGGCUAGCUACGUA
rnacentral:rRNA from 1 species